GGGGAUAUAGCUCAGUUGGUAGAGCGCUUGCCUCACGUGCACAAGGCCCUGGGUUUGAGCCCCAGCACCA
rnacentral:tRNA from 1 species